UACGUAGGGUGCAAGCGUUAAUCGGAAUUACUGGGCGUAAAGAGCGCGCAGGCGGUCGUUCAAGUCGAGUGUGAAAGCCCCCGGCUCAACUGGGGAGGGUCAUUCGAUACUGAUCGACUCGAAGGCAGGAGAGGGAAGCGGAAUUCCCGGUGUAGUGGUGAAAUGCGUAGAUAUCGGGAGGAACACCAGUGGCGAAGGCGGCUUUCUGGCCUGUUCUUGACGCUGAGGCGCGAAAGCUAGGGUAGCAAACGGG
rnacentral:rRNA from 1 species